rnacentral:lncRNA from 1 species
AUGCUUAUUUUGAUUUGCAAAGUGAUUGGAUUUUUCCAGGGCAUUUUGAAAGGAAAAAAGUCUGAAUUUAAUUAUCACUAUUCCAAAAAGCACCAUGGGACUGAGUGUUUGAGGUCGUCUCAUGUUUGCUUCACACCCCGCUCCAAAAUGCAGACGGGCUGCGGGGACGUGGUGGGACGUGGUGAGGGUGUCCUGCUGUGUCCCACUCCCGCUGUCAGGCCAGUCCCAGCUCCUGCCCAGUCCCAGCUCCUGGCCAUUCCCAGCUCCCGGCCAUUCCCAGCUCCUGCCCAGUCCCAGCUCCUGGCCAUUCCCAGCUCCCGGCCAUUCCCAGCUCCUGCCCAGUCCCAGCUCCUGGCCAUUCCCAGCUCCCGGCCAUUCCCAGCUCCUGCCCAGUCCCAGCUCCUGGCCAUUCCCAGCUCCCGGCCAUUCCCAGCUCCUGCCCAGUCCCAGCUCCUGGCCAUUCCCAGCUCCCGGCCAUUCCCAGCUCCUGCCCAGUCCCAGCUCCUGGCCAUUCCCAGCUCCCGGCCAUUCCCAGCUCCUGCCCAGUCCCAGCUCCUGGCCAUUCCCAGCUCCCGGCCAUUCCCAGCUCCUGCCCAGUCCCAGCUCCUGGCCAUUCCCAGCUCCCGGCCAUUCCCAGCUCCUGCCCAGUCCCAGCUCCUGGCCAUUCCCAGCUCCCGGCCAUUCCCAGCUCCUGCCCAGUCCCAGCUCCUGGCCAUUCCCAGCUCCCGGCCAUUCCCAGCUCCUGCCCAGUCCCAGCUCCUGGCCAUUCCCAGCUCCCGGCCAUUCCCAGCUCCUGCCCAGUCCCAGCUCCUGGCCAUUCCCAGCUCCCGGCCAUUCCCAGCUCCUGCCCAGUCCCAGCUCCUGGCCAUUCCCAGCUCCCGGCCAUUCCCAGCUCCUGCCCAUUCCCAGCUCCUGGCCAUUCCCAUCUCCCGGCCAUUCCCAGCUCCCGGCCAUUCCCGGCUCCUGCCCAGUCCCAGCUCCUGGCCAUUCCCAGCUCCCGGCCAUUCCCAGCUCCUGCCCAUUCCCAGCUCCUGGCCAUUCCCAUCUCCCGGCCAUUCCCAGCUCCCGGCCAUUCCCGGCUCCUGCCCAGUCCCAGCUCCUGGCCAUUCCCAGCUCCCGGCCAUUCCCAGCUCCUGCCCAUUCCCAGCUCCUGGCCAUUCCCAUCUCCCGGCCAUUCCCAGCUCCCGGCCAUUCCCGGCUCCUGCCCAGUCCCAGCUCCUGGCCAUUCCCAGCUCCCGGCCAUUCCCAGCUCCUGCCCAUUCCCAGCUCCUGGCCAUUCCCAUCUCCCGGCCAUUCCCAGCUCCCGGCCAUUCCCGGCUCCUGCCCAGUCCCAGCUCCUGGCCAUUCCCAGCUCCCGGCCAUUCCCAGCUCCUGCCCAUUCCCAGCUCCUGGCCAUUCCCAUCUCCCGGCCAUUCCCAGCUCCCGGCCAUUCCCGGCUCCUGCCCAGUCCCAGCUCCUGGCCAUUCCCAGCUCCCGGCCAUUCCCAGCUCCUGGCCAUUCCCAGCUCCCGGCCAUUCCCAACACGGGCAGUCAGAAUGA